rnacentral:rRNA from 1 species
UACUGAGGGUGCGAGCGUUGUCCGGAAUCACUGGGCGUAAAGGGCGCGUAGGUGGCUUGGUAAGCGUGUGGUGAAAGCCUGGGGCUCAACCCCAGGUCUGCCGUGCGAACUGCCAAGCUUGAGCAUAGUAGAGGCAGGUGGAAUUUCGGGUGUAGCGGUGGAAUGCGUAGAUAUCCGAAAGAACACCGGUGGCGAAGGCGGCCUGCUGGGCUAUUGCUGACACUGAGGCGCGACAGCGUGGGGAGCAAACAGG